rnacentral:rRNA from 1 species
UGGGGAAUCUUGCACAAUGGGGGAAACCCUGAUGCAGCGACGCCGCGUGAACGAUGAAGCCCUUCGGGGUGUAAAGUUCUUUCGACAGGAACGAUAAUGACGGUACCUGGAGAAGAAGCUGCGGCUAACUACGUGCCAGCAGCCGCGGUAAUACGUAGGCAGCGAGCGUUGUUCGGAGUUACUGGGCGUAAAGAGUGCGUAGGCGGCGAGCCAAGUUUGGUGUGAAAUCUCCCGGCUUAACCGGGAGGGUGCGCCGAAAACUGGUUGGCUGGAGUAUGGGAGAGGAAAGCGGAAUUCCUGGUGUAGCGGUGAAAUGCGUAGAUAUCAGGAGGAACACCUGCGUUGUAGACAGCUUUCUGGACCAAAACUGACGCUGAGGCACGAAAGCGUGGGUAGCAAACA